UAGCCCUAAAUCUUGAUGACCCCAAACACAAACAUCCGCCUGAGAACUACGAGCACAAACGCUUAAAACUCUAAGGACUUGGCGGUGCUCUAAACCCACCUAGAGGAGCCUGUUCUAUAAUCGAUAACCCACGAUUCACCCGACCACCUCUUGCCAAAACAGCCUAUAUACCGCCGUCGCCAGCCCACCUCGUGAGAGCACAACAGUGAGCCCAACAGCCCACAGCCCACUAACAAGACAGGUCGAGGUAUAGCCUAUGAGGUGGAAGAAAUGGGCUACAUUUUCUAAAAUAGAAAACCCAACGAAAAGGGGCUUGAAACCUGCCCCAAGAAGGCGGAUUUAGCAGUAAAGUGGGA
rnacentral:rRNA from 1 species